ACGGGUGAGUAAUGUCUGGGAAACUGCCUGAUGGAGGGGGAUAACUACUGGAAACGGUAGCUAAUACCGCAUGACCUCGAAAGAGCAAAGUGGGGAUCUUCGGACCUCACGCCAUCGGAUGUGCCCAGAUGGGAUUAGCUAGUAGGUGAGGUAAUGGCUCACCUAGGCGACGAUCCCUAGCUGGUCUGAGAGGAUGACCAGCCACACUGGAACUGAGACACGGUCCAGGCUCCUACGGGAGGCAGCAGUGGGGAAUAUUGCACAAUGGGCGCAAGCCUGAUGCAGCCAUGCCGCGUGUGUGAAGAAGGCCUUAGGGUUGUAAAGCACUUUCAGCGAGGAGGAAGGCAUCACACUUAAUACGUGUGGUGAUUGACGUUACUCGCAGAAGAAGCACCGGCUAACUCCGUGCCAGCAGCCGCGGUAAUACGGAGGGUGCAAGCGUUAAUCGGAAUUACUGGGCGUAAAGCGCACGCAGGCGGUUUGUUAAGUCAGAUGUGAAAUCCCCGCGCUUAACGUGGGAACUGCAUUUGAAACUGGCAAGCUAGAGUCUUGUAGAGGGGGGUAGAAUUCCAGGUGU
rnacentral:rRNA from 1 species